UUUUGUUCUCAGCUCCCUGCCCCCGCCUGCCUCUCUUGUCGGAAGUGGUGCACUUGGAAGAGGGACAUCAAAGCUGCUGGGGAGGCUUUGCACCGAGAGGGAUUUUCUUUGUCUGACUGAGAAGCAAAGAAAGACAAUCUUGGCUUGCUCGUCUCUGCCCGCUGACUGCUGCCAUUUCCCUGGGCCUGGGGACCCUCCAGUGACCAAGAAGAGGUGAGAAUAACAGACUGCUUCCCAAGUACGUCUCCUGCCAGUACCAGCCAGUGCUGGACCCAGACAGAAGCCAGUGACCCAGGAGCCUCAAAUGCACCGACAGGAGUCUGCUCCUUUGGCAAUUCCCUGAGCAGAAAAAAAAAGAUGUGACAACAUGUUGUAACCUGGCCCCACAUGCCACAUCCAACCUUCUCUAGGACAACAUGUGAUUUCUUCUUCCAAGAGCCCCAGGCACGACGGAAGCUUGAACAGCAGGGGGUUGAUUUUGAAUUGAACAUAACGAACCACCAGUCAAGGGCUGCUCUCUCAUUGGUUUAAAGAGGCUCAUUCUGUCUCUGGAAUUGUGAGAAUAAUUCUCGAAGACGCCCUCUUGGGGUUUAAGGGUGGAUUUAGGCAGGCAGUGGCAAUGUAUUCAAGCUGGAAUUGGUCCAAAAUGGUGCAGAGAGCAGCUGCUGAGCGCAGUGAGACGCUAUCCCCUUCCCCAAGCUCUGGGUGCAGACAAUGCCUGAGCUCCUCUUGCCGGGGAGAGGAGCUUGGUACGAAACUUUGACACAUCCAUGAAAUAGAAUUCUUCCCUCGAAGACACACUUCUUUAGAAAGCCCUUAUUUCUUGGAAUUCCAAAUGGAAAUGGAGCCACUCAUUUCGGUGUCCGCAUGCGCCCUCUCUUCCCAGCCUUUAGACUUAGUGCCCCCACCAUCUCCUUCACCCCACAUUUUGGUCCUCCUCCCUUUGUUCUUUUCACCCCCUUCACUAAUGCUCCCGUGAUCCAUCACCCCAGCAGCCACGGCCCUCAGGCAGGUGCAGUAACAACCCAUUCGACACAGACUUUGGCUGGAAGAAUCUUGACCAAAUUUGCUGACCACACGGCAUCCAUCACUCAGGAAAUGUCCUUGUCCAAGUCUACUUCAGAGAGGCCCCAAAGAUUCUGUGAAGGCCAACAUUCUAUGACCCUUCUCUCUUAGUUCUAUUACCCUUCCAUUUAUAUGACCACCACAUAAAAGAGGAGGGGGUGCAGGAGGGGAGGAGAAGAGCUCUCUUGUCUGGAGCUCCUGAAUAUGCAUGUAUUGCAGCUGUCAGUCUCAGCUUUCUCUUGUCAGGUUUUAUACCCCCUACCCUCAGCUUUGUGCACCUACACGUUGACCCCAGUCUUACCACUGUCUCACACUGACCGGCCCCUCAGCUAACAGCUCCUCCCACUGGCACCCAGCCCGCUCCUGGUGGUCCCCGUCCCCGCUCCCAUAUUGGCUUAUCAUGGCCUUGUGAGCAGAGUAUGGGCAUCAACUCAUAACAUUGCUUAUCUGUCUCUAAAACUCACCAGCAUUGAACUUGGUC